UUUUUUUUCCCUGCCUCUAUUUUUACGUCUGUUCUUCAUUCUCUACUCUUUAGUUCUCUUUUAUUUUUCUUGGUUGCAAUCAUUGCUCUCUUGCAUUCUUGUCAAUACUGGUUGGAUUCCUUUGUUUCGGUUUUAGGCUUAAAUAGUUAGAGGUAAGAUUCCCUCAUCUGCAACUAUGAUCUUUUGUGGAAUUGAUGUGGGCAAUUGGGAAUUAUGGAAUUGUGAUAGUGUAGUGCAAAAUUGGUAUCCUUGCAAUAUCUUAUUAAUCCGCUAUGUUUUUAGGAGAGGAUCAAGAGGGAAGAAGCGUUUCUUCAGUGGUUUAAGGGCGUAUGUUGCUGUUGCGUGCUUGGGUUCUGGAAGCCUCAUGUGAGUUUUUAUAUCGAAAUUGAAUCAGGUGCAACAAGAAACUCGAAAAACAGCGAACAAACAUGAAAUUUGGUCUUCUGUUAGUAUAAUUUUCUGAUAUCUUUAAGUGUAUUUGAGCUGUGAUAUGAUAAUUUAAACUGAGAGUAAUCUUAUAUACGUAUAUGAUUUGUAUCUGAAAUGUUAUGCAUGGUUUCUGCUAUGAUUGUAUCUGAUUUUGGGGUGGGAUAUAAUAUGUGGUGGAAGUGUUUUUGUGAGAGGUGAUAUCUCGCCUAUUAUACUGGCAGCGUAGCUGCAAAUAAUCUCAAAAGUGUCAUAUCGACACUAAGUAGUGUGUUGGGUUGGACGAGUAUUUAAUACUCUAUAUGGUGUGUAGGGAUGGUUAGAGAUGAUGUGUAGCGGAUGAGAGUAGAACUGUAAAUUUGCAUAUGAUUCUGAGUCUGUAUAAGAUAUACCUUUGUAUCUGCUCUGCCAUGUAAUAAAUCUGAAAUUAAAUCUGAAA